GUGGAAUUCAAGGCAUGUAUUACAACCACAUUGCUUUCAUUCCUGUGCUGGGAAAGGAUUUAGACCUACAGAUUUGAUAAAUCUGUUUGAUUUCGACUGAAAACAUAUGCAUUUUAUUCCCUCGCUGAAUGCACAUUCUACCUUUCCUCAUGGCAUCCCUAUAGUAUAAUCUUGUGAGGUUGGUUGGAUUGAGAAAGCAUGAAGCUGCCCAAUGUUGAACCAGAACUUGAAUCUAACUGCUGAAUGGCAUCUGGGAAGAGAAGCUGAAGAUGAACCACCAAGGCCCAUCACCUACCAAGAAUGGACAGGCGCCAAACUCAAAUGUCCGUUGCUUUAUUUAUUAAGAAAAAUGUAUAUGGCUGCCCAACUCUCUCAUGCUAAGUUUAUCUCAUAAAGAUAAAACCCAAUAGAAAAACUAAUAAACUCACAUCAUCCUAGUGAUGACAAUCAAGUGACCAUUUGAGGGGGCUCUGUAUCAUCCUGGGAUCUUUUAAAAGUAUCAAAGUGGGGGCCCAUCUUAUUUAUGCAGGGAUGAUGUUCAAUAGGGAUGGGGCCAUCAAAGACAAGGCCCUUCUUCUUAGUCCCACUAGAUGGACCUCCUUAAAAAGGGAGGCCUAUAACAUACCCUGCCUCUCUAUUCUGGGAGGCUGCUUUAAUUCAAAUGUAGAUUAUAAGUAGCUUUACAUAAUUGAUUGUGGGAAGAUUGUAAAGGGAUGGAAAGAAGAUUAAAAGGUAAAGGUUCCCCUUGCACAUAAGUGCUAGUCGUUUUCCGCUCUAGGGAGUGGUGCUCAUCUCCAUUACAAAGUCGAAGAGCCAGUGCUGUCCGAAGAUGUCUCCGUGGUCAUUUGGCUCACAUGACUAAACACCAAAGGCGCACAGAACGCUGUUACCUUCCCAUCAAAGUGGUCCCUAUUUUUCUAUUUGCAUUUUUAUGUGCUUUUGAACUGCUAGGUUAGCAGAAGCUGGGACAAGUAAUGGGAGCUCAGUCCGUUACAUGGUGCUAGGGAUUCGAAUUGCUGAACUGCCGACCUUUCUGAUCGACCAGCUCAGCAUCUUAGUCAGAGACAAU
rnacentral:lncRNA from 1 species